rnacentral:rRNA from 1 species
ACACCUACGGGUGGCAGCAGUAAGGAAUAUUGGUCAAUGGGGGCAACCCUGAACCAGCCAUGCCGCGUGCAGGAAGACGGCCCUCUGGGUUGUAAACUGCUUUUAUCCGGGAAUAAACCCCCUUACGUGUAAGGGGCUGAAUGUACCGGAAGAAUAAGGAUCGGCUAACUCCGUGCCAGCAGCCGCGGUAAUACGGAGGAUCCAAGCGUUAUCCGGAUUUAUUGGGUUUAAAGGGUGCGUAGGCGGCCUGUUAAGUCAGGGGUGAAAGACGGUGGCUCAACCAUCGCAGUGCCUUUGAUACUGACGGGCUUGAAUACACUUGAAGUAGGCGGAAUGUGACAAGUAGCGGUGAAAUGCAUAGAUAUGUCACAGAACACCGAUUGCGAAGGCAGCUUACUAAGGUGCAAUUGACGCUGAGGCACGAAAGCGUGGGGAUCAAACAGGAUUAGAUACCCUGGUAGUCCACGCCCUAAACGAUGAAUACUCGAUGUUAGCGAUAUACAGUUAGCGUCUAAGCGAAAGCGUUAAGUAUUUCACCUGGGGAGUACGCCCGCAAGGGUGAAACUC